UACGAGUGCCUCAAGCGUUAUCCGGAAUCAUUGGGCGUAAAGGAUGUGUAGGUUGUCAUGUUAGUCUCUCGUUAAAUUCUUCGGCUUAACCGGGGGCAUGCGGGGGAAACGGCAUGACUUGAGGAUGCAAGGGGUCUGUGGAACUCAUAGUGUAGCGGUGAAAUGCGUUGAUAUUAUGGGGAACACCAAAAGCGAAGGCAGCAGACUGGGGCAUUCCUGACACUGAAACAUGAAAGCGUGGGUAGCGAAUGGG
rnacentral:rRNA from 1 species